UCGGAAGCAGGCCCCAGGCUCUGAGCUGUCCGCACAGAGCCCGACGCGGGGCUCGAACUCACAGACCUUGAGAUCGUGACCUGAGCUGAAGUUGGGCGCUCGACCGACUGAGCCACCCAGGCGCUCCU